AUGCUCUUCCUCGCUGUCGGCAGGGGAAUCCGGUGCGAGUCCGGGACUGUCCCGCAACGGUGUGCGACGCGCCCCGUGGCGUGUUGCGAGUCCGAUGACCUGCCGAAAGCGCGCCGCCGUCC
rnacentral:ncRNA from 18 species